rnacentral:rRNA from 1 species
GUCUACGGCCAUACCACCCUGAACACGCCUGAUCUCGUCUGAUCUCGGGAGCCAAGCAGGGUCAGGCCUGGUUAGUACUUGGAUGGGAGACCUCCUGGGAAUACAUUUAUUGCUAAAC